CCAAUAGCGUAUAUUAAAGUUGUUGCAGUUAAAAAGCUCGUAGUUGAAUUUCGAGAUCAGUACGCUGGUCGUGCCUUCGGUAUGCACUGGUGUCACUGGUUUCUCCCUUCUGAAGAACCGUCAUGCCAUUCAGUUGGUGUGGCGGGGAAUCAGGACUGUUACUUUGAAAAAAUUAGAGUGUUUAAAGCAGGCUUGCGCUUGAAAACAUUAGCAUGGAAUAAUGAAAUAGGGCGUUUGACCCUAUUUUGUUGGUUUCUAGGAUCGACGUAAUGAUUAAUAGGGAUAGUUGGGGGCAUUAGUAUUCAAUUGUCAGAGGUGAAAUUCUUGGAUUUAUUGAAGACUAACUACUGCGAAAGCAUUUGCCAAGGAUGUUUUCAUUAAUCAAGAACGAAAGUUAGGGGAUCGAAGACGAUCAGAUACCGUCGUAGUCUUAACCAUAAACUAUGCCGACUAGGGAUCGGAUGAUGUUAAUUUUUUAAUGACUCAUUCGGCGCCUUACG
rnacentral:rRNA from 1 species